AUUGAACGCUGGCGGAAUGCUUUACACAUGCAAGUCGAACGGCAGCACGGACUUCGGUCUGGUGGCGAGUGGCGAACGGGUGAGUAAUGUAUCGGAACGUGCCCAGUCGUGGGGGAUAACGUAGUGAAAAUUACGCUAAUACCGCAUACGAUCUAUGGAUGAAAGCGGGGGAUCGCAAGACCUCGCGCGAUUGGAGCGGCCGAUAUCAGAUUAGGUAGUUGGUGGGGUAAAGGCCCACCAAGCCAACGAUCUGUAGCUGGUCUGAGAGGACGACCAGCCACACUGGAACUGAGACACGGUCCAGACUCCUACGGGAGGCAGCAGUGGGGAAUUUUGGACAAUGGGCGAAAGCCUGAUCCAGCCAUUCCGCGUGCAGGAUGAAGGCCCUCGGGUUGUGAACUGCUUUUGUACAGAACGAAAAGGUUUCUACUAAUACUAGGAGCUCAUGACGGUACUGUAAGAAUAAGCACCGGCUAACUACGAGCCAGCAGCCGCCGUAA
rnacentral:rRNA from 1 species